CGGUAAUUCCAGCUCCAAUAGCGUAUAUUAAUGUUGUUGCAGUUAAAAAGCUCGUAGUCGGAUUUCAUGUAGAGAAGUAUAUUUGGCCCUUUGGGUUACGAAGAGCCAUCUCUGCAUUCUUUUGCUGUUACUGCGUUCUCUCACUUCAUUGUGCGAAACGUAUGUUCGGCAUCUUUUACUUUGAGAAAAUUAGAGUGUUCAAAGCAGACAUUUUUGUCUUGAAUAUUACUCAUGGAAUAAUAAUAUAUGACUUCGGUCUUCCUUUGUUGGUGUUUGUAGGCUGGAGGAAUGAUUGAUAGGGACAGUUGGGGUCAUUAUUACUCCUUAGAGAGAGGUGAAAUUCUUAUACCUCAGGAAGACUAACUACUGCGAAAGCAUUUGACAAGGAUGUUCCCGUUGAUCAAGAACGAAAGUUGAGGGAUCGAAGACGAUCAGAUACCGUCGUAAUCUCAACCAUAAACUAUGCCAGCUAGGGAUUGGGAGAGGCCUAAAUUUUCAAAGACUCUCUCAGCACCUUAUGAGAAAUCAAAGCAUUUGGGUUCCGGGGGGAGUAUGGUCGCAAGGCUGAAACUUAAAGGAAUUGACGGGAGGGCACCCCCAGGAGUGGAGCCUGUGGCUUAAUUUGAUUCAACACGGGAAAACUUCACAGCUCCGGACAUAGUAAGGAGUGACAGAUCGAAGCUCUUUCUUGAUUCUAUGGGUGGUGGGGCAUGGCCGUUCUUAGUUGGUGGAGUGAUUUGUCUGGUUAAUUCCGUUAACGAACGAGACCUCAGCCUGCUAAAUAGUUAGCUCGAUCCUUGAUCGUGUUACUCUUCUUAGAGGGACUACUCUGGGUUCACCAAGAGGAAGCAUGAGGCAAUACCAGGUCUGUGAUGCCCUUAGAUGUUCUGGUCCGCACACGGGCUACACUGGUGGCAUUACCAAGCAUGUAUCCUAGCCCGACAGGUCUGGUUAAUCUUUUAAAUGUCACCGUGCUCGGGAUAGAAGGUUGCAAUUGUCCUUCUUCAACGAGGAAUUCCUAGUAAACGUAAGUCAUCAGCUUACAUUGAUUACGUCCCUGCCCCUUGUACACACCGCCC
rnacentral:rRNA from 1 species